UACAGAGGCCUCGAGCGUUAGGCGGAAUCACUGGGCUUAAAGCGUGUGUAGGCGGACUUCUAAGUACCUUGUGAAAUCCCACGGCUCACCCGUGGAACUGCUUGGUAUACUGGUCGUCUUGAGCCUUCUAGGGGCGAGUGGAACAAAUGGUGGAGCGGUGAAAUGCGUAGAUAUCAUUUGGAACGCCAAUGGUGAAAACAGCUCGCUGGGGGUGCACUGACACUGAGACACGAAAGCCAGGGGAGCGAACGGG
rnacentral:rRNA from 1 species